GAUUGUAAACUUUCUCUCUGCAAUCGCGGCUG
ncrna:unclassified sequences S4-Bacteroidia ribosomal protein leader